UACUAGGAUUAGAUACCCUAUUAUUAAAAAAUUAAAUAUAUAAUACUAAAAUAGUAAAUAAUUUAUUGAAACUUAAAUAAAUUGGCGGUAUUUUAGUUCAUUCAGAGGAAUCUGUUUAUUAAUUGAUAGUCCACGAAUAAAUUUACUUAAUUUAUUAUUUUGUAUAUCGUUGUUAAAAAAAUAUUUUUUAAUAAAAAUAAUAUUUAAAAAUUUUAAAAUAAAAUUAAAUCAGAUCAAGAUGCAGAUUAUAAUUAAGAAUAUAAUGGAUUACAAUAAAUUUAUUUAUUAAUGAAUAUUAAAUUGAAAUAUUUAAUUGAAGGUGGAUUUGAAUGUAAUUUUAUUUAAAUUAAUAAAAAUGAUUAAAUAAAUUAAAAUUAUGGUAACAUUAUU
rnacentral:rRNA from 1 species